rnacentral:tRNA from 1 species
GGGGAAUUAGCUCAAAUGGUAAAGUGCUUGCUUAGCAUGCGAGAGGUACUGGGAUCGAUGCCCACAUUCUCCA